rnacentral:rRNA from 1 species
GACGAACGCUGGCGGCGUGCUUAACACAUGCAAGUCGAACGAUGACGACCGAGCUUGCUCGGUCUGAUUAGUGGCGAACGGGUGAGUAACACGUGAGCAACCUGCCCUUCACUCUGGGAUAACCUCGGGAAAUCGGGGCUAAUACCGGAUAUGAGCUCCUGUCGCAUGGCGGGUGUUGGAAAGUUUUUCGGUGAAGGAUGGGCUCGCGGCCUAUCAGUUUGUUGGUGAGGUAGUGGCUCACCAAGGCGAUGACGGGUAGCCGGCCUGAGGGGGCGACCGGCCACACUGGGACUGAGACACGGCCCAGACUCCUACGGGAGGCAGCAGUGGGGAAUAUUGCACAAUGGGCGAAAGCCUGAUGCAGCGACGCCACGUGAGGGAUGACGGCCUUCGGGUUGUAAACCUCUUUCAGCAGGGAAGAAGCGAAAGUGACGGUACCUGCAGAAGAAGCGCCGGCUAACUACGUG